CAACACUGAAAGGAAGGUGAUGCCUGUAGCUUACGCUUCUCCCAGGGAAAAGAAAAUCUGGCAGGACAUACACACAGGGCAGUGGGGAGGCCCUCAAGUGACUGAAGUAGACGAGUUUCAUAGAAGAGAAACAGCAGAAGGAGGCACAUUAUGUCCUCCGCACGUCAGCCGGAAGCGCUGCUGAGGAAAAGGAUGCCUCCUGGUUCAAG